UUCCAAGAGGAAUCCAGUAUUCAGACAGACCAUGGAAUAACUAACAUUUACUAAUGGAACCUUAUUCUAAAGUGUAAUUGUUUUAAAAUAUGUUCAAGAGUUUUUCACUUUGGUCUGUUACUGUAGGAACAUUGGCUUUACAUUUCCUUACUCCUAAACAUGACACUGAACAAAACAAACUGUGGUUGUUUUACUCAUGAACAUAAAAUGAGUAAUGGACAAAAGUUCAUAUCUAUCAAGAAUUUGAAUCAGCUCAAAGUGCACCCAAAGUGUUGGAUGAAUUUAAACAUGAUGAUGUUUUGUCAACAACUAAGUUUUUGCAACUUUUACUGGUAAUGUGGUUUAAGUGGUACAUUGUCCUAAUGAAUUUUCCUUCUCUUUUGCAGGUCUAAGACAGCUACAAUGAAGCCACAAACGCAGUUCAUAGUUCCUGUAUUUCUAUAAUGCAUUAAUGAAUAACAAUAAUUUAAAAAAAAUGUAAUGUCAAGGUUUUGUGUAAAUUCCAGCCAUGUUGAGUAUUCUGUGAAUAAUUUUGAUUUUAGGUGCAUAUUCUUAAUUCUUUGCAAAACAGCCUGAACUGUUUGCUAUUGAAAGCAGGGUAAUUGGAGUACAGAACUCACUUAACCUGACAGCCAUUUUGAGAUGACAGCGACACGAGCAACAUCUUCUCCAAGAUAUUCCUUUUUAAUGGAUGCAGCAUGGAGGAAAUAAGACCAAAUAAACACAACAAAAGGAUCAGCAGGUUUAAACGUCGCAUCACAAAACUGAGAAAGCAUCAUGAUGCAUGCGCCAGGAGACUAUCAGCUAGACAGAAGGCAAAGGAAACCUCAAGUACUGGCCCCGUUAUGCCCCACCAGGUCCCAGAUGAUGAGGUCCCAUCUCCCCUCAAGCAGGACAUCCUUGACUUACAGCUGAUUUGUAGAGAACGAUCCUUGGAGGAUUCAAAGGCAAAUAUGGACAUUUCCGUGCCUUCAGAUGUUACCAAGCACCUAGCCAAACAGUCACUGUCUACAAAGAAAUCGGUGGACACGGAGAGUGAUACAGAUACAGUAAUUCUAGAAUUGCCCAGUUCUUCUGUAUCACCAAGAGCCUGUGAUAUCCCAGAGCUAAAGAGGACUGACAGUGUAUUUGUAAGUUUCUCACACUUGUGUGUGCUGAUCAUUUUGUCUUAAGUCUACAUUUAGUCUACAGUAUCAGUUGUAUUACUGAGGUUGUUUGUUAACUGUCUCAUUUGUUAUCAUGGCUAUAAGCAAUUAAACACGAGCUCCUUUUGCCAAAGCUUAGACAUAACAUGAAGUACACGACAAUGGCAGUGUGAGCUAAGAGGCCCUAUUUUAACGAUCUAAGCACAUGGUCUAAAGCGCACGGCACAAGUGCACCUGGGGCAUGUCCGAGUCCAC
ensembl:lncRNA